rnacentral:rRNA from 1 species
AACGAACGCUGGCGGCAUGCCUAACACAUGCAAGUCGAACGAGACCUUCGGGUCUAGUGGCGCACGGGUUCGUAACGCGUGGGAACCUGCCCUUAGGUUCUGAAUAACUCCCCGAAAGGGAUGCUAAUACCGGAUAAUGUCUUUGGACCAAAGAUUUAUCUCCUUUGGAUGGGCCCGCGUUGGAUUAGCUAGUUGGUAGGGUAAAAGCCUACCAAGGCGACGAUCCAUAGCUGGUCUGAGAGGAUGAUCAGCCACACUGGGACUGAGACACGGCCCAGACUCCUACGGGAGGAAGCAGUGGGGAAUAUUGGACAAUGGGCGAAAGCCUGAUCCAGCAAUGCCGCGUGAGUGAUGAAGGCCUUAGGGUUGUAAAGCUCUUUUACCCGGGAUGAUAAUGACAGUACCGGGAGAAUAAGCUCCGGCUAACUCCGUG